rnacentral:rRNA from 1 species
UACGGGGGGGGCAAGCGUUGUGCGGAAUUACUGGGCGUAAAGGGCUCGUAGGUGGCCAACUAAGUCAGACGUGAAAUCCCUCGGCUUAACCGGGGAACUGCGUCUGAUACUGGAUGGCUUGAGUUCGGGAGAGGGAUGCGGAAUUCCAGGUGUAGCGGUGAAAUGCGUAGAUAUCUGGAGGAACACCGGUGGCGAAGGCGGCAUCCUGGACCGACACUGACGCUGAGGAGCGAAAGCCAGGGGAGCAAACGGG